UUUAUCUUCUAAACAAAUUAUUUCCUAGUCCAACAUCGAGGUCACAAACUCACUAUGAAUAAUGCUGUUAUCCCUAGAGUAAUUUAUUCUCUCAACUUAAUAGUAUCAUGUAUGUGAUAGUAAGUUAUUUGUUACUAUGUCGCCCCAACAAAAUAAUUAUAUGGAUUUAUAUAUAAAAUUUCUAGGGUCUUCUCGUCUUUCUUCUUACUACGAGACUUUUCACUCACUAAGUAAUUUCUAUAGUCUUAUUUGAGAGAGUAAAUUCCCAGAUUCCCAUUCAUACUAGACUUCAAUUAUAAGCCAAUUGAUUAU
rnacentral:rRNA from 1 species